rnacentral:miRNA from 1 species
UGGGAUGUUGAAUCUGUUGCAG